rnacentral:rRNA from 1 species
AUUGAACGCUGGCGGCAGGCCUAACACAUGCAAGUCGAGCGGAUGAAGGGAGCUUGCUCCUGGAUUCAGCGGCGGACGGGUGAGUAAUGCCUAGGCAUCUGCCUGGUAGUGGGGGAUCACGUCCGGAACCGGGCGCUAAUACCGCAUACGUCCUGAGGGAGAAAGUGGGGGAUCUUCGGACCUCACGCUCUCAGAUGAGCCUAGGUCGGAUUAGCUAGUUGGUGGGGUAAAGGCCUACCAAGGCGACGAUCCGUAACUGGUCUGAGAGGAUGAUCAGUCACACUGGAACUGAGACACGGCCCAGACUCCUACGGGAGGCAGCAGUGGGGAAUAUUGGACAAUGGGCGAAAGCCUGAUCCAGCCAUGCCGCGUGUGUGAAGAAGGUCUUCGGAUUGUAAAGCGCUUUUAGUCGGGAGGAAGAGGAGUAAGUUAAUACCUUGCUGUUUUGACGGUACCAACAGAAUAAGCACCGGCUAACUUCGUG